rnacentral:rRNA from 1 species
UACGUAGGGGGCAAGCGUUGUCAGGAUUUACUGGGCGUAAAGAGCGUGUAGGCGGCCAAACAGGUCCGUUGUGAAAACUGGAGGCUUAACCUCCAGACGUCGACGGAAACCGUGUGGCUAGAGUCCGGAAGAGGAGAGUGGAAUUCCUGGUGUAGCGGUGAAAUGCGCAGAUAUCAGGAAGAACACCAAUGGCGAAGGCAGCUCUCUGGGACGGUACUGACGCUGAGACGCGAAAGCGUGGGGAGCGAACAGG